AAACCCAUUUUUACGUAGAAGCAAUCUCUCUCUCUCAUCCUAUAAACACUCGAGAAAAAUACUUUCAACAAACCAUAUUCAUGAACAACCAACAACUAAAAAGCUAAAAAAUUACCUGAAGAAUAUCAAAAUGUUGACAACAUUCAAAUCGAUAAGAGACCGGACAUAUUCAGGUGUAGGAGACCUCAUCAGGCUCCUCCCGACAGGAACAGUCUUCUUGUUCCAGUUCUUGAACCCUGUCCUAACCAACAAUGGACAUUGCCUCCUAAUCAACAAAUACUUAACCGGAGCUCUUAUCGUUAUCUGCGCCUUCUCUUGCUGCUUCACUUGCUUCACCGAUAGUUACCGAACAAGGGACGGCUACGUUCACUAUGGAGUCGCCACCAUGAAGGGUCUCUGGCCAGAUUCAUCUUCGAAAGAUUUGUCUUCGUAUCGGCUUAGAGUUGGAGAUUUCGUUCAUGCUUUCUUUACUCUUAUUGUUUUCAGUGUUAUUUCGUUGUUGGAUGCUAAUACUGUUAACUGUUUCUAUCCUGGCUUCGGUUCCACCGGGAAGAUUUUUCUAAUGGUUUUGCCUCCGGUGAUUGGAGUUAUCUCCGGCAUCAUCUUCACCGUGUUCCCUAGUAAACGUCACGGAAUUGGGAAUCCCUCGGAGAACAACGAUGACAAGGCUUCCGAGCUAGAGAAGUGAUAUGAUUUCCACUAUUAUAUAUAUGCAUAAUAAAAUGAAAUGAUCAAUAUUAAGAUUGUGUAAGUUAUACAUGAAUGGUCACUGUAAUGUUUUGUUUAUUUAUUUUCUUGUGAUUUGUUAUUUAUGUUUGUGAGUGCUGAAUUAUAUGUUCAUAUGUUUAUUUAUGUUUGUUUGUGAUCAUAUGUUCUGUGUUUUCUUAACGAUUUUUUUGUUUCAAUUUUUUGUUGAUGAAACUCAAAAGUAAUAACAUAUCUUACAGUGUUAAUCUUUUUAUUCUAUUAGUGAACAAGCAUCAUUUAAUUAACAGAUGUUUCGGAUUUAGAAGACAUGCAUAUGCAUGCACACAAUUCCAAAACAUCCUUAUAUUUUAAAAGAAGGCAGUAUAGGGAAAAAAUUUGUGGUUGAUUAGAAUAUGUCUAAAGGAAUGGCAAUGGAGUAGAACCACGAUAAAGAGUGAAUUUUAAUAUUUUGAAGUUUAAUAUCCUUUAAGUCAUUCAUUCUAAUUAUUUUUAUCUAUUAAUCUGUAGUAGAUUUAUAUGAAACAUGGAUGGUGGAUGUCGUGAACUAAAAAGCUAGUCUAACAGAUUAAUUAAAAAUAAGACUAGUUUAACAGACGUCAUUCUAUUAAUAAAACAUGAGGUGGUCUGAGUCAAAAAAGUCAUUCUAUUACUGAAACUUGAGGUGGUCUAAGUAACCAAACCGGAAUAGAACAAUCAAUAAAAUGUAACUCCCUAUGGAAAGAUCUCGCAGGUUUUGCUAAAAAGUCUGAAAUUUGAUUGCGCGCUCGUGGAACGUGAAUGAUGUUGAAAUCCGGGAAGCAUAUCUGUAGCGUCUCUAUCCUCUCCAAUUCUGUCGUAAAACUUAGCCAAGCAUGAAGUUUCUUUAUUAUUGCAAUCAGCUCCUUACAGUUUGUCCCAAAAGUUUGGCAUGGUGAAUGUUAAAGCAUGUUCUCUAUUGCCCACCGCAGUGUUUCUACUUCCGAAUAAAAGGCUGAUUCGCGUCGAGUGAAGUUUCUUGUUCCCAUAAGUUGAAUAUUCCCCUCCCCCCUCCCCACUGUCCAUCCAGUCCCAUCCACAACUAUUAAAGUGAGCAGAGGCUGUCCAAGACCCAUCUAACAAGCAAAUAUUACCCAAACCUAUGACUUGGGGUUCUUUAGUAUUGUUAUCUUGUACCACUGGUUGUACCACUUGGUUUGUAACAAACCAUGCUUUGCAUUUGCUUUCUACAUGUCGAACUAGCUCCAAAGGAUCUCUGUCUAUCCCCCUGAAAAGUUUGUCAUUCUUAGCGUUCCAAAUAUACCAGAUUAUCCAGUGAUAAAGAUCCUUGUCUUGUUCUGGCUCGAUAAUGAUGUUUUUCCUCCAUAAUAGGUAUUUCAUAUUUGUGUAGACGUUUGGUAUUGGAAAUAUAUCUGGACUUAUUGGAAUUCAUGAUAGGGACCAAACUUGUAAAGCUGGCGGACAUUCGAAAAUGGCAUGGGUUACGGAUUCUUCUAGUUCUCCACAUCUUGGGCAUUAGUUAUCACACCUCAUAUUGCGUCUUGCUAAGUUUCUCGUUACUGCUACAUUACCAGUUAACAAUUACUAUAUAAAAUGACAUAUCUUCUUAGACACCUUUAACUUUCAAGCAAAUGUUUGAAGCUUCGUGAUACCCGGCUCCAAUACUUCCUUUCCAUCAUGUCUUUAAUAAAUUCUGAGCCACCCAAUAUCCAGAUUUAACCGUAUAUGGACCAUUCUUUGUGUAGUUUCAACAGAAUGUAUCAUGACGGUGAGUUGAGCUUAUGGCCAAACUUCAUAUGAGUGGUAUGUCAUCAAGAUUGACAUAGUUCUCCAAAGACCAACAUCCCAAUCCUUCGAUACCUGGUUAAUGAGAUCGAUGACUCUCAUAUUAGAAUGCAUAACUGGUGCUACAUGAAUAGCUUGUCUCGCAUGGGUCGUUGGAAUUCAUGGAUCCUCUCGCACCUUGAAUUAUGCUUCUUAUAUAUCAAUAAAAUGCAUCUCUUAGAGUUUAAAUGAAUACUUUAAUAGAAGUUUUUUACGACAGAGUUGGAUUUAUAUAACUUAGCAUACAAUAUAAAAUAAAUCAAGAUAAAUUAAUUACAUAUACAUUUUGGCCCACACUGCCACACAUACUCGUUUUUGACUAGACGAUAUGCGUGACAUCAAUUGGAAUGGAGCAAUAAAGUUACUUCACGCUUUAUAUAUCUAAAUGGGACACCCUAAUCCUUAAAGCCACGUUUUCUAGUAGUAGCCGAAAAUACUAAAAAGGGAAACAAAAGCAAAAAUUAAUUAUAAUUAGAGACCCCCACUAUUUGAAAAGGUUCUUUCAAAAGAGUACAAGCAACACCAAACCCAUUUUUACGUAGAAGCAAUCUCUCUCUCUCAUCCUAUAAACACUCGAGAAAAAUACUUUCAACAAACCAUAUUCAUGAACAACCAACAACUAAAAAGCUAAAAAAUUACCUGAAGAAUAUCAAAAUGUUGACAACAUUCAAAUCGAUAAGAGACCGGACAUAUUCAGGUGUAGGAGACCUCAUCAGGCUCCUCCCGACAGGAACAGUCUUCUUGUUCCAGUUCUUGAACCCUGUCCUAACCAACAAUGGACAUUGCCUCCUAAUCAACAAAUACUUAACCGGAGCUCUUAUCGUUAUCUGCGC
rnacentral:lncRNA from 1 species